GACGAACGCUGGCGGCGUGCCUAAUACAUGCAAGUCGAACGCUUCUUUCUUAUCGAACUUCGGUUCACCGAGAAAGAGGAGUGGCGGACGGGUGAGUAACACGUGGGUAACCUGCCCUUUAGCGGGGGAUAACACUUGGAAACAGGUGCUAAUACCGCAUAAUCUUUUUUCUCGCAUGAGAGAAAAGUGAAAGACGCUUUUGCGUCACUAGAGGAUGGACCCGCGCUGCAUUAGCUAGUUGGUGAGGUAAUGGCUCACCAAGGCCACGAUGCAUAGCCGACCUGAGAGGGUGAUCGGCCACACUGGGACUGAGACACGGCCCAG
rnacentral:rRNA from 1 species